CCUACGGGAGGCAGCAGUGAGGAAUAUUCGUCAAUGGGCGGGAGCCUGAACCAGCCAAGCCGCGUGAGGGAAGAAGGUACAGCGUAUCGUAAACCUCUUUUGUCAGGGAACAAAGGCGGGGACGAGUCCCGGGAUGAGGGUACCUGAAUAAAAAGCAUCGGCUAACUCUUUUCCAGCAGCCGCGGUAACACGGAGGAUGCGAGCGUUAUCCGGAUUUAUUGGGUUUAAAGGGUGCGCAGGCGGCCUGGUAAGUCAGCGGUAAAAGCCCGGGGCUCAACCGCGGCCAGCCGUUGAAACUGGCGGGCUGGAGUUGGAGAGAGGUACGCGGAAUGCGCGAUGUAGCGGUGAAAUGCUUAGAUAUCGGGCAGAACCCCGAUUGCGAAGGCGGCGUUCCGGCUCCACACUGACGCUGAGGCACGAAAGCGUGGGUAUCGAACAGGAUUAGAUACCCCUGUAGUC
rnacentral:rRNA from 1 species